GUGUCAGCAGCCGCGGUAAUACAGAGGGCGCGAGCGUUGUCCGGAAUCACUGGGCGUAAAGGGCGCGUAGGUGGCCACCAUAAGGCCGCUGUGAAAGUCUGGGGCUCAACCCCAGAUCGGCAGCGGCGACUGUGGGGCUCGGGUACUGUAGAGGCAGGUGGAAUUCCGGGUGUAGCGGUGGAAUGCGUAGAGAUCCGGAAGAACACCAGUGGCGAAGGCGGCCUGCUGGGCAGUGGACCUGAAAGGGUCCUUCAACCGACACUGAGGCGCGACAGCGUGGGGAGCAAACAGGAUUAGAUACCCUAGUAGUCC
rnacentral:rRNA from 1 species